AUUGAACGCUGGCGGCAGGCCUAACACAUGCAAGUCGAGCGGAGCGGCGGACGGGUGAGUGAUGCCUAGGUAUCUGCCUGGUAGUUGGGGAUAACGUCCUGAAACGGGCGCUAAUACCUCCUCCUAUCAACUGAGCCUAGGUGGGAUUAGCUAGUGGGUGGGGUAAAGGCCUACCAAGGCGACGAUCCGUAACUGGUCUGAGAGGAUGAUCAGUCACACUGGAACUGAGACACGGUCCAGACUCCUACGGGAGGCAGCAGUAGGGAAUAUUGGACAAUGGGCGAAAGCCUGAUGCAGCCAUGCCGCGUGUGUGAAGAAGGUCUUCGGAUUGUAAAGCACUUUAAGUUGGGAGGCGUUACCAACAGAAUAAGCACCGGCUAACUUCGUGCCAGCAGCCGCGGUAAUUC
rnacentral:rRNA from 1 species